rnacentral:lncRNA from 1 species
UUUAUGACACUAUACUAUUGAAAGUAAAAAUAAAAUCCUAUUUCUGGCCAUAGACCUUUGUAUACCAGCAAUCAUAAAAAUAUCAUAUGGUAUUUUUAUAAUUAUUGAAAGCAAGAUUUGAACCUGUGUGACAGAGGUUUGAACUCAAAGUAAAGUGACAGGCUGAAGUGCUGCUGAAUCUUCUCACCUCAGUGGGGGAGGGGCCCCAGGAGGUCUGGAAUUUGGAGAAGCCAGAAGGUUCUGACUGAGAGGCAGUUAUCUCUCUCAAUCUUUAGAAGCCUAGGAGGAAGGGAGGUCUGGUCAAAACUUUCUCCUGAGGAGAUAUUCACCUUUUUCCUCUCCUGGAGACAGGACAUCCUCCCCCUCCACCAAUUCCCAACUGAAGUGAUAGCUGAAGAAGACAUUGAGCCUCUGUUAAACUUACCUCACAGCUCCUGGUGCCUUGGAUCUGAACUGUGCCAGUUGGGUCAAGACCAGGGCAAGAUUAAGGUCCCAUGAGCAUUCUAGAUGAGAAAAGUGGGAGUAGUGGCAUUAGAAUCACAACAGAAGUGGAUCCUGGAGCAAUAAAAGAUGAAAAUGGUACCCUACA